GAACGUAUAGCUUAGUUGUCAAAACACCUACAUGGUUUCCAUGAGGUGCUGGUUCAAAUUCUGCUACGUUCA
rnacentral:tRNA from 1 species